UGAGGAACAUGACCUUCGGCGGGGGAUAGCCGGCCCAACGGCCGGGUAAUACCGCGUACGACCACAUGGGGACAUCCCUGAGUGGUGAAAGCAGCAAUGCGCCGAUGAAGUGCCUCGCGGCCUAUCAGCUAGUUGGUGAGGUAACGGCUCACUAAGGCGACGACGGGUANCUGGUCUGAGAGGAUGGCCAGCCACAGUUGGGACUGAGACACGGCCCAGACCU
rnacentral:rRNA from 1 species